rnacentral:ribozyme from 1 species
GUCCCCCUGUUAAACAAGGAUGCACCGCUACGGGGUGGGGGAUAGGCAACGGAGCUUUCGCUCCGGCUAAGACAUCGCU